UUCAAAAAUCAUGAGGGUUCAAGUCCCUCUAUCCCCAAAAAGACCAUUU
rnacentral:tRNA from 1 species